rnacentral:rRNA from 1 species
ACGACUCCCGACAACGGAUAUCUAGGCUCUCGCAUCGAUGAAGAACGUAGCGAAAUGCGAUACGUGGUGUGAAUUGCAGAAUCCCGCGAACCAUCGAAUCUUCGAACGCAAGUUGCGCCCGAGGCCCUCGGGCCGAGGGCACGCCUGCCUGGGCGUCACGC